ensembl:snoRNA SNORA74 Small nucleolar RNA SNORA74
CCCAAUGGUUGUCAGCUAUCCAGGCUAGCACGAUGCCUGUGAUGGUGUUACACUGUUGGAAGAGCAAGCGCUGCCCAGUGGGGUCUGGCUCCAAGCGCUCUUUCCGUGGUGUGGUCACGUACCUUUGGGCAGCGUUUUGCACCUAUGAGAGUGGAAUGACUUCUCCUGUGGAGUUGGUCCUAGUCUGGAUGCAAACAUU